GCCGGCCUAGCUCAAUUGGUAGAGCAACUGACUUGUAAUCAGUAGGUUGGGGGUUCAAGUCCUCUGGCCGGC
rnacentral:tRNA from 1 species